GGUUUGUGGUAAAGAAAGGAAGGGAAGGGAAGCGAAGGGGCCGCGCAGAGGUGUGGUGUGAGGUCCGACGUUAACGAAACGUCGAGGGUACCUCGAGCGCCAGUCUCGUCGCCGCCGAAGGACGAGGAGGAGGAGCAGCGAGGUAGGGGGUGCGGAGGGGACGGCGGAACCGGCGUCGGGCCCGGACGGCGACGGCCGAGCGGCCCACCGACAGCGGCGGCGCCCCCGGUAGCGGGAGCUGGGCGAAGUCCUGUAUUUUUUACUCGUCUUUCGACUCCACAAACGUACGGGACAAACAAUACUUGGCGACUAUUCCUUUCCCGGUGGUCCGUACUUGGACGGUCGCUAAAUAUCCAGGCCUAAGUUCACAAGUUUUACGUUGUUCAGUAAGUGGUCGUUUCUACAGAAGAACCUAGAGUGACAGUGGAGUCCUUACUUUCUUAUGUCACUUGAGUUCGGACGAUCUUGGCUCGACAAGUCCUCGGGCGAGCAGAGGAAAGAAAUACUCUCCCCCACCGCAGUCUUGAAGUUAGCGUCACCGAAGGGACCGGCGCUACUUCUCAAGGUUUACCGAGUUCUGAUAAAGGUUAGUCAGCGACCACCAUAUGAGCAACUACAGUCGACGCCGUCACCGAACAAAAGUUCCUUCAAACGUUCGAGACCCCGUAUGAGUAGACACUAACGAAACCUGAAAAGCCUCUUAUACGAGGCUGUUACGAUACUGAUGUAGUUUGUUCUUCUUUGGGGAUACUUGUGCUUGGAACGUGAACAUUCCCGACUAUAAAGCUCCGAGGGAAAACGAAGUUCAAGUUAACUACGGUAAGUACGACCUCGGCGAUAGGUGACAACCGGUAGGGGAAGUUUACGCUAUCGACUUUAGUCGGCACACGACUUCGGGCCGCCACAGAAACACCGCUGUUGGAAGAAUAGGUGGGGGUGCUUGUCGCCGGGCGAGAGAUAACUGCGUGAUUCCGGUGACUCCGUCUAACAACCCGGUCACUUGUCGUCGAUGUUGAAGAAGUGCCUUCCUCUCGACCUUCUGGACACGUCUAGGACACCGGACUAGUUGAUGUCGUCGUUCCACGUCUCCAGUAAGUAGUACAAGAGGCCCGUUUUCGGUAUCGACUCAUGGUAUAGGUCUGAAAGAGACAUAUCGGUCGGUGUCACAUAUAUAUCGACACGAAAAGAAAAAUGCCCAUAUACAUAUCGACAAUACCAAUUUAGUCCACCACUCUUACAUUGAAUUUGGUGUAAUCCGUUAACUUGGUUUUACGUACCAGAGACUGAGACUACUUGUUAUCAUCGUAAAGAAGUCCAAGUCCGUAGCUCGUUUUCAAAAUGUGGACUUGUUAACACAACAAAGACGUGGUAUUUAUUUGAAAUUCCCAUGUCUGACUUAAGGAAAGAUCUCUUCUAGUUCUCCCUGCAUAGGACCGAGGUUAAAAAUGUCUUACCUACUUUGGGUUCUCUCAUAGCCACGUUUGUUAGUCUGGUCGACUCACUCACUGUCCUAUAGCAGUAGUUGGUUUUAAUAAGGGUCCUAGGUGUUGUUUGGUGUCGUAUGUCGUCGUUCUUUCUUUGAUAGGAUAGAUCAUGAGUCGGACGACCGACCAGAGUUCCAUGUUCGUCGGUAAGGCCGUGGAGUGCUGGCGAGUUCCAUGUUCGUCUCACCACUUCUUUGGACGACGAACCUCCGUCGCCGUGGUUCGAAAUCCAGCUCCGCACAGUGUCCACGAGCUAAGCUCGGUAGUUGACGUAAUAAGGAGCUCGCCUAACUCACUAUGAUGAAUUAUUUCGUCACACACAUUUACACGUAUAGGUAAGUGGUAAGUAUAGUAUUCUGGUAUUCGAAGGUCGUUUUACACGGUACCACAAUUUACUUUCCAGUUCGAUUAAUGUCGUGACAUCGUUUUGGCCGUUCGGUUGUCCAGCCUCCUCGCUCGCGAUAAGGGUAAGUGCCCCGUCAAUCCGUCUUCUAUCUUCGACGAGGUAGGUUUACCAAGUUAGAUGAGAUGAGAGCUGCGUGAAUUAUACUGGCGGAUACGAAGCGUCAAGACCUUUUUAAUGUCUUGAGAACAACGCCCCAGUGACGAUGU
rnacentral:rRNA from 1 species